CGGUCUGGAGGUAAGCAGAUGCCAGUGAUGAUAUGCUUCAGUAUUAUUUUUCAUAUCGAAUGGAUUCAUGUAUAUCGUAUUUUCAAAAUGUGAAAUCACAUUUUUUUUUCAAGUGCCUUACUGAGAUCAUACCUCAUUUGACAAUUGACUAGACUUGACAGUCCCAGAUUAGCUUCAAGUAACCUUCUGAAAGUUCAUAGGAUGAUGCAUCUUAAACUAAUCAUCGCUUCGCCUUGAUACAGUCUUUCAGGGUGGACAGGAAGGUGGUGAGAACCGUUCUUCCAUAGGCUGCCAAAUGAGAAGCUUUGCUCUAUCAAACUGUUAUGCUGGUACGUUACGUGCUGGGGAGACAAAAUAGAGUCCAAGGAAUCCUUAAUUGUUGUAUUGUGGACGUUUCUAUCCCUAAAUAAGUCUGUACAAUAUAGAGACAUUUAGUCUGUAUAUAGAGAGACGCAUGAACAUUCGGACUCUGUACCUC
rnacentral:lncRNA from 1 species